rnacentral:rRNA from 2 species
ACCUGUUCCCAUGCCGAACACAGAAGUUAAGCUCUUUAGCGCCGAUGGUAGUUGGGCUUACGUUCCGCGAGAGUAGGACGUUGCCGGGC